rnacentral:rRNA from 1 species
GUGGGGAAUCUUCCGCAAUGGACGAAAGUCUGACGGAGCAACGCCGCGUGAGUGAAGAAGGUUUUCGGAUCGUAAAGCUCUUUCGUUAGGGACGAACGUGCUCUUUGUGAAUAAUGAGGAGUAAUGACGGUACCUAAAUAAGAAGCCACGGCUAACUACGUGCCAGCAGCCGCGGUAAUACGUAGGUGGCAAGCGUUGUCCGGAAUUAUUGGGCGUAAAGCGCGCGCAGGCGGGAUAUCAAGUCUGUCUUAAAAGUUCGAGGCUCAACCUCGUGAGGGGACAGAAACUGGUAUUCUUGAGUGUCGGAGAGGAAAGUGGAAUUCCAAGUGUAGCGGUGAAAUGCGUAGAGAUUUGGAAGAACACCAGUGGCGAAGGCGACUUUCUGGACGAUGUCUGACGCUGAGGCGCGAAAGCUAGGGGAGCGAACGGGAUUAGAAACCCUUGUAGUCC